rfam:Myotis davidii contig215277, whole genome shotgun sequence.
AGAGGCCCUCCGUGGCCGAGGUGGAAUGCUUGCCUCAUCACAGCAGCGACGAGGCAAGCAUUCCACCAGGUCGCUCAUGCUGCCCAC